rnacentral:rRNA from 1 species
GACAUAGGUGGCGAACGUUAUCCGGAAUUAUUGGGCGUAAAGGGCGCGUAGGCGGGCUGUCAAGUCUGGGGUGAAAUGCUGCGGCUCAACCGUAGAACUGCCUCAGAUACUGACGGCCUCGAGGAAGGUAGGGGCAUGCGGAACUGUAGGUGGAGCGGUGAAAUGCGUUGAUAUCUACAGGAACUCCGGUGGCGAAAGCGGCGUGCUGGACCUUUUCUGACGCUGAGGCGCGAAAGCUAGGGGAGCAAACGGG